rnacentral:rRNA from 1 species
ACGGAAGGCAGCCGUGGGGAAUAUUGGGCAAUGGGCGCAAGCCUGACCCAGCAACGCCGCGUGAAGGAAGAAGGCUUUCGGGUUGUAAACUUCUUUUGUCAGGGACGAGGAAAAGACGGUACCUGAUGAAUAAGCCACGGCUAACUACGUGCCAGCAGCCGCGGUAAUACGUAGGUGGCAAGCGUUGUCCGGAUUUACUGGGUGUAAAGGGCGUGUAGCCUGGUCGGCAAGUCAGAUGUGAAAUCCAUGGGCUUAACUCAUGAACUGCUUUUGAAACUGUUGAUCUUGAGUAUCGGAGAGGCAAUCGGAAUUCCUAGUGUAGCGGUGAAAUGCGUAGAUAUUAGGAGGAACACCAGUGGCGAAGGCGGCUUGCUGGACGAUAACUGACGCUGAGGCGCGAAAGCGUGGGGAGCAAACAGGAUUAGAUACCCUUGUA